GAUGAACGCUAGCUACAGGCUUAACACAUGCAAGUCGAGGGGCAGCAUGGUCUUAGCUUGCUAAGGCCGAUGGCGACCGGCGCACGGGUGAGUAACACGUAUCCAACCUGCCGUCUACUCUUGGACAGCCUUCUGAAAGGAAGAUUAAUACAAGAUGGCAUCAUGAGUCCGCAUGUUCACAUGAUUAAAGGUAUUCCGGUAGACGAUGGGGAUGCGUUCCAUUAGAUAGUAGGCGGGGUAACGGCCCACCUAGUCUUCGAUGGAUAGGGGUUCUGAGAGGAAGGUCCCCCACAUUGGAACUGAGACACGGUCCAAACUCCUACGGGAGGCAGCAGUGAGGAAUAUUGGUCAAUGGGCGAGAGCCUGAACCAGCCAAGUAGCGUGAAGGAUGACUGCCCUAUGGGUUGUAAACUUCUUUUAUAAAGGAAUAAAGUCGGGUAUGCAUACCCGUUUGCAUGUACUUUAUGAAUAAGGAUCGGCUAACUCCGUGCCAGCAGCCGCGGUAAUACGGAGGAUCCGAGCGUUAUCCGGAUUUAUUGGGUUUAAAGGGAGCGUAGAUGGAUGUUUAAGUCAGUUGUGAAAGUUUGCGGCUCAACCGUAAAAUUGCAGUUGAUACUGGAUAUCUUGAGUGCAGUUGAGGCAGGCGGAAUUCGUGGUGUAGCGGUGAAAUGCUUAGAUAUCACGAAGAACUCCGAUUGCGAAGGCAGCCUGCUAAGCUGCAACUGACAUUGAGGCUCGAAAGUGUGGGUAUCAAACAGGAUUAGAUACCCUGGUAGUCCACACGGUAAACGAUGAAUACUCGCUGUUUGCGAUAUACAGCAAGCGGCCAAGCGAAAGCGUUAAGUAUUCCACCUGGGGAGUACGCCGGCAACGGUGAAACUCAAAGGAAUUGACGGGGGCCCGCACAAGCGGAGGAACAUGUGGUUUAAUUCGAUGAUACGCGAGGAACCUUACCCGGGCUUAAAUUGCAGAUGAAUUACGGUGAAAGCCGUAAGCCGCAAGGCAUCUGUGAAGGUGCUGCAUGGUUGUCGUCAGCUCGUGCCGUGAGGUGUCGGCUUAAGUGCCAUAACGAGCGCAACCCUUGUUGUCAGUUACUAACAGGUUCCGCUGAGGACUCUGACAAGACUGCCAUCGUAAGAUGUGAGGAAGGUGGGGAUGACGUCAAAUCAGCACGGCCCUUACGUCCGGGGCUACACACGUGUUACAAUGGGGGGUACAGAGGGCCGCUACCACGCGAGUGGAUGCCAAUCCCAAAAACCUCUCUCAGUUCGGACUGGAGUCUGCAACCCGACUCCACGAAGCUGGAUUCGCUAGUAAUCGCGCAUCAGCCACGGCGCGGUGAAUACGUUCCCGGGCCUUGUACACACCGCCCGUCAAGCCAUGGGAGCCGGGGGUACCUGAAGUGCGUAACCGCGAGGAGCGCCCUAGGGUA
rnacentral:rRNA from 1 species